rnacentral:rRNA from 2 species
CAUUUCUUCCCUAUCAACUUUCGAUGUUUGGGUAUUGGCCAAACAUGGUUACAACGGGUAACGGAGGGUUAGGGCUCGACCCCGGAGAAGGAGCCUGAGAGACGGCUACUACAUCCAAGGAAGGCAGCAGGCGCGCAAAUUACCCAAUCCCGACACGGGGAGGUAGUGACAAUAAAUACUGAUACAGGGCUCUUUCGGGUCUUGUAAUUGGAAUGAGUACAAUUUAAAUCCCUUAACGAGGAACAAUUGGAGGGCAAGUCUGGUGAACGCAGCCGCGGUAAUUCCAGCUCCAAUAGCGUAUAUUAAAGUUGUUGUGGUUAAAAAGCUCGUAGUUGAACCUUGGGCCUGGCUGGCCGGUCCGCCUCACCGCGUGUACUGGUCCGGCCGGGCCUUUCCCUCUGUGGAACCCCAUGCCCUUCACUGGGCGUGGCGGGGAAACAGGACUUUUACUUUGAAAAAAUUAGAGUGCUCCAGGCAGGCCUAUGCUCGAAUACAUUAGCAUGGAAUAAUAGAAUAGGACGUGCGGUUCUAUUUUGUUGGUUUCUAGGACCGCCGUAAUGAUUAAUAGGGACAGUCGGGGGCAUCAGUAUUCAAUUGUCAGAGGUGAAAUUCUUGGAUCUAUUGAAGACUAACUACUGCGAAAGCAUUUGCCAAGGAUGUUUUCAUUAAUCAGGAACGAAAGUUAGGGGAUCGAAGACGAUCAGAUACCGUCGUAGUCUUAACCAUAAACUAUGCCGACUAGGGAUCGGGCGAUGUUAUUUUUUGACUCGCUCGGCACCUUACGAGAAAUCAAAGUGCUU